UCUACCAAAGGAUAAUAGUAUUCCACUGGUCUUA
rnacentral:tRNA from 1 species